GCUAAUCCUGAUAUUUAUUCAUUAGGGUUUGCCAAGGUUAAAUCACGUAGACAGCAAUAUGAAAAUAUUUUAUGGUAUUUUGACAGGUUGGGGGAAAAAACCCAGAGUGAAGCCUCCGGGGGCCGGGUCUCUCACACCUUAAAGUUCAAGAAACGCCCCUGUUGCCAACCCUGGACCUGGAGAACCCUCUGUCCUUCACAUUUUAACGGAGAAUGGUAUUUUCAUGAGAAACUGGAUCUGAGAAGUAACGAGACAAGAAUACAUCAGAGACACCAGCACGUCCUGUUCUAAACCGCCGGAGAUUAAAGUCUGUUCCAUUGUUUUAAAUGUUAGAAAUGUUAGGAAACUGCGUUUUUUUUU
ensembl:lncRNA